CCUACGGGUGGCUGCAGUGAGGAAUAUUGCACAAUGGGCGAAAGCCUGAUGCAGCGACGCCGCGUGGGUGAAGAAGGUUUUCGGAUCGUAAAACCCUUUUCUGUGUGACGAGAGAGUACGGUAGCACAGGAAUAAGUCUCGGCUAACUACGUGCCAGCAGCCGCGGUAAAACGUAGGAGACAAACGUUAUCCGGAGUUACUGGGCGUAAAGGGCGUGCAGGCGGCAGCCUAAGUCUGGCGUGAAAUAUCCCGGCUUAACCGGGGGAGGUCGUCGGAUACUGGGCAGCUAGAGGGCGGUAGAGGCGUGUGGAAUUCCGGGUGUAGUGGUGAAAUGCGUAGAGAUCCGGAGGAACACCAGUGGCGAAGGCGACACGCUGGGCCGCACCUGACGCUAAGACGCGACAGCAUGGGGAGCGAACGGGAUUAGAUACCCUUGUAGUC
rnacentral:rRNA from 1 species